rnacentral:rRNA from 2 species
AGAGUUUGAUCCUGGCUCAGGAUGAACGCUGGCGGCGUGCUUAACACAUGCAAGUCGAACGAACCUUCGGGUUAGUGGCGGACGGGUGAGUAACGCGUGAGAAUCUGCCCUCAGGAGGGGGAUAACGGCUGGAAACGGCCGCUAAUACCCCAUAUGCCGCAAGGUGAAAUGAAAUUCGCCUGAGGAUGAGCUCGCGUCUGAUUAGCUAGUUGGUGGGGUAAGAGCCUACCAAGGCAUCGAUCAGUAGCUGGUCUGAGAGGAUGAUCAGCCACACUGGGACUGAGACACGGCCCAGACUCCUACGGGAGGCAGCAGUGGGGAAUUUUCCGCAAUGGGCGAAAGCCUGACGGAGCAACGCCGCGUGAGGGAUGAAGGCCUCUGGGCUGUAAACCUCUUUUAUCAAGGAAGAAGAUCUGACGGUACUUGAUGAAUAAGCCACGGCUAAUUCCGUGCCAGCAGCCGCGGUAAUACGGGAGUGGCAAGCGUUAUCCGGAAUUAUUGGGCGUAAAGCGUCCGCAGGCGGUUUUGUAAGUCUGUUGUUAAAGCGUGGAGCUCAACUCCAUUUAAGCAAUGGAAACUGCAAGACUAGAGUGUGGUAGGGGCAGAGGGAAUUCCCGGUGUAGCGGUGAAAUGCGUAGAUAUCGGGAAGAACACCAGUGGCGAAGGCGCUCUGCUGGGCCAUAACUGACGCUCAUGGACGAAAGCCAGGGGAGCGAAAGGGAUUAGAUACCCCUGUAGUCCUGGCCGUAAACGAUGAACACUAGGUGUCGGGGGAAUCGACCCCCUCGGUGUCGUAGCCAACGCGUUAAGUGUUCCGCCUGGGGAGUACGCACGCAAGUGUGAAACUCAAAGGAAUUGACGGGGGCCCGCACAAGCGGUGGAGUAUGUGGUUUAAUUCGAUGCAACGCGAAGAACCUUACCAGGGUUUGACAUCCUGCGAAUCUCUUGGAAACGAGAGAGUGCCUUCGGGAACGCAGUGACAGGUGGUGCAUGGCUGUCGUCAGCUCGUGUCGUGAGAUGUUGGGUUAAGUCCCGCAACGAGCGCAACCCACGUCGUUAGUUGCCAGCAUUUAGUUGGGCACUCUAGCGAGACCGCCGGUGAUAAACCGGAGGAAGGUGUGGAUGACGUCAAGUCAUCAUGCCCCUUACAUCCUGGGCUACACACGUACUACAAUGCUACGGACAAAGGGCAGCAAACUCGCGAGAGCUAGCAAAUCCCAUAAACCGUGGCUCAGUUCAGAUCGUAGGCUGCAACUCGCCUACGUGAAGGAGGAAUCGCUAGUAAUCGCAGGUCAGCAUACUGCGGUGAAUACGUUCCCGGGCCUUGUACACACCGCCCGUCACACCAUGGAAGUUGGCCACGCCCGAAGCCGUUACUCCAACCCUUGUGGAGGAGGAUGUCGAAGGUGGGGCUGAUGACUGGGGUGAAGUCGUAACAAGGUAGCCGUACCGGAAGGUGCGGCUGGAUCACCUCCUAA